GAUGAACGCUGGCGGCGUGCCUAAUACAUGCAAGUCGAGCGAACAGAUGAGGAGCUUGCUCCUCUGACGUUAGCGGCGGAAGGGUGAGUAACACGUGGAUAACCUACCUAUAAGACUUGGAUAACUUCGGGAAACCGGAGCUAAUACCGGAUAAUAUAUUGAACCGCAUGGUUCAAUAGUUAUAGACGGUUUUGCUGUCACUUAUAGAUGGAUCCGCGCCGCAUUAGCUAGUUGGUAUGGUAAUCGCUUACCAAAGCAACGAUGCGUAGCCGAACUGAGAGGAUGAUCGGCCACACAGGAUCUGAGACACGUUCAACACUACUACAAGAGACAGCAGCAGGGAAUCGUCCGCAGUAGGCGACAGCCUGACGGUGCAACGGCGCGUGAGUGAUAGCGGUCUUCGGAUCGUUAAACUCUGUUAUUAGGGAAGAACAAAUGUGUAAGUAACAAUGCACGUCUUGACGGUACCUAAUCAGAAAGCCACGGCUAACUACGUG
rnacentral:rRNA from 1 species